UCCAUAAUCCUUGGUGUUGUCUGACCUGGUAGGCAACAUUAUUUUAGCUGGAAAGUGAUUUGAUGGUGUAUUUCAAAGCAUUUUAUUGCGCCCAAAAACACCUCUCAGGAGAACUAAGCGGUUUGUCCAUAAUGUUUAUGAGGUUUGCACUGAUUGGCUCAGCUGUUGCUAGAGAACCACGUCAUUGUGGAGAACAUGUUCUACUGAGGACUCACAGGCUGCUCUCAGCCUUUGAGAUAAAAGAAAAGAAAAAUAAGCGUCGCCGAAUUGGCUAAAAUUACCUAAUGUUAAAAUGAUUGUGCUGGAUACUCCACAGUCCACACUGGCGCAGAUUUAAUAAUGUACAAAACCUUAUUGUAUUCUGCGCCACUAGAUGGCAUAUUGGGGCAUACGGAUCCUGGGAGGAGAAGAAGAAGAAGUGCAUGUUGUUGCUGCUAGCUACGUACUCACUCUGCCUGCGGUGGAUUGUUUUAUUCCGUGUCAAUUUAAAACUACUUCAGUAAAUGUAUUAACUUUACACCGAGCCUCUUCAUUGCCUACUGCAAAACAACUUUUUGCACCAGUUCGUCACUGAUGGCUUAUCAACGCGGCGGCAUCCUCAUCAUGGCACAGGUUCAUCAGAGUCAGGUGGUCAGCACCCAAACUAAAACCAUGGGUCAUGGUGAAGAAGGAUGAGAGACUGUUCUAUGUGCCCAGGGUUCGUCAGGAUGGUGUCUAAGAAUUACAUCCUAGCAGCACAGAACAGGAAGCCAUCGUGAAGAAGUUGCCGGAGAGGCUUCGCUUGGCCUUUGCCAGCACCUCACUAUCAGUGAUGCUGGUCUCCUUAUCCACCG